AAAGCGAACUGAGGUGGCUCUCUACCCACCCUGGGCCCCUGUGGUUUCUCCCGAGUCUCUCUCCCCCUCCCCCGGGACGCACAGGAGUCGGGCACUGGGGGUCACACUCACACCAGGGGGACACUUCCUAGCUCUGCACUGACAGGCACAGGCCAUGGUAGCAGGCACAGCCAAGCCCCUGGCCGCGGGCCCAACAGGACAAGUCUGAGGAAGCGUCCCCGCCUGACAGCACCUAACGCUGCUCGCCUGGGACAGAUCCACGCUGACCUCGCUUUGGGAAUCUUAUGUAAAGAGCAUUCCAUGGAGUGGUACUCUCAGCCUAUCUGUAAUAGCAAGAAGAUAUCUUGGCUAGAAAUCGCCACAUAAGGACUACUGAUUCAACUUCCCUGAAACCCUGCUGUCUUUUUAACUGCAAGCACCAGCUGAUAGGAGAUACCAUUAUAGGAAGCACCCAGAUACUAGCUCUCCAGAGAAUGACAAGGGAGGUAACCAAUGCCCAGUGGGUGGGUGCUAAACAGACAUCACCAGCCACUGUCCAGCGGAGGAGUUACAAAUCAGUGACACACUUGCACAAGGCCAUGCCAGGGGAAUUGCUCAACCUUGCCUGGAGACUUAGCAAUGCCCACCAAACAUGUCUGGACUUGUGUUCUCCAAGCACAUGGACUGAGAGUAUAAAACAGAACACAGUGGCCACAUGCUGGGACUUUUCUCCUUCCACCACCUAUGCUGCAAACAACAAAGACCACCCAGAAGACCGAAGAUGCCAACAGAGGGGACUAGCCCAGGUUUAAGGACAAACCUGUAUAUUUAGGACUACAAUAUCCAGUGGGGUGAGAAAAAAUGCUUAAUCCAUAUGUUGCCCAGUCUAAUAGCAUGCAGUCUAAACUCUCAACCCUUAUAUUUUAUUUUGGUAACUAAC